CCUACGGGCGGCAGCAGUGAGGAAUAUUGGUCAAUGGCCGUAAGGCUGAACCAGCCAAGUCGCGUGAAGGAAGAAGGAUCUAUGUUUUGUAAACUUCUUUUAUAGGGGAAUAAAGGUAGCCACGUGUGGAUAUUUGCAUGUACCCUAUGAAUAAGCAUCGGCUAACUCCGUGCCAGCAGCCGCGGUAAUACGGAGGAUGCGAGCGUUAUCCGGAUUUAUUGGGUUUAAAGGGUGCGUAGGUGGUUUUUUAAGUCAGCGGUGAAAGUUUGGGGCUCAACCAUAACAUUGCCGUUGAAACUGGCAGACUUGAGUGUGUUUGAGGUAGGCGGAAUGCGUGGUGUAGCGGUGAAAUGCAUAGAUAUCACGCAGAACUCCGAUUGCGAAGGCAGCUUACUAAGCCAAAACUGACACUGAAGCACGAAAGCGUGUGGAUCAAACAGGAUUAGAUACCCCAGUAGUC
rnacentral:rRNA from 1 species